UUUGGUGGGUUUUGGGCUGGCUUCUUUACUGCAGCCUGUUUUACUGGAAAGGUCUUUGUGACCUGUAUUCUGUGCUGCCCUGCUGUCUCAUCCUGUGACUCAGAAUGCCUUCACCGCCUGGAAAUGCAGCCCAGUAGGUCUCAGCCUCCUUUUACCCAGCUCCUAUUCAAGAUGGAGCUGCUGUGGUUCACAGGCCUCUAACAGCUGGGCUCCUCGGGAUCUCCUGAUGUUCUGUCCCCUCUGUCCCCAGCUCCUGGAUCUCUCCACCAUCGCUCUCUUCCUGAGCUGCCUGCCUCUGAGUUUCUUCAUCACCAAGAAGAGGAUUCACUGUCAGGCCCAGCUGUCCCAAUGUCCAUCUGUCACUUGGACUGUUUCUCCAGCCUCCAGCAUGGCUGCCUCCGGGCAUGGUGGCUCACACCUAUAAUCCCAGCACUUUGGGAGAUCGAGGCAGGCGAAUCUCCUGAGGAGAGCAAAUGAGGCAGAAGGACUUGUGGGCCCAGCCCUCCAGCUCCAUCCUCAGGAACUCGAGGAUCAUCAAGUUUCAUGGCUGUGAGGGAGCCUUUCUGGACAGUCCUGGUCAUCCGAGGCCAGGAGCUGGGUGCCUUGUGGACCUCUGGCCUCCUCUUCUCCGUGUUGCUGGUGUCCUUCCAAGCAUCUACCUUUCUGGUAAUGUCACUAAUCUCUAUGCCGAGCAGGACUGGGGAAGGAGUGUGGGGCUCAGGAGGUGAGGCAGGUGGAGCCUCCCAGAUCCUACCACACUGUCCAUCAAA